rnacentral:rRNA from 1 species
AUUAUUUUAAGCUAUACGUUGGUAGUAAAUAAAAAUUAUGAAAUCAUAAAAUUUUGGCGGUAUUUUAAGCUUAUUAGAGGAAUUUGCUCUGUGAUGGAUACAACGCCUAGAUCUUACUUAGUUUAGUAAUUUAAGUCAGUUUGUAUACCACUAUAUUUAAUUAUAUUGAAUAGUUAUAUUUAAGAUUUUUAAAUAAAAUAUAUAUUAAGUCAAGGUGCAACAAAUAACUAUGAAUGAGGUGAAUUACAUUAAUUUUGAUGGUAUUUUAUUUUUGGAAAAAAAAAUUAUAGGAUUUAAUAGUAAAAUAUUAAUAUGAUGAAUAUUUGAAUAGAGCUCUAAAAUA